UAUAUUUUAGUGUAUGAUGCACAAAAGUUUUUGAAGCUUUUAGUAGUAGUUUAAUUCUAUUAAAUAUAA
rnacentral:tRNA from 2 species